rnacentral:rRNA from 1 species
UACGAAGGGGGCUAGCGUUGCUCGGAAUUACUGGGCGUAAAGGGCGCGUAGGUGGCCAGUUUAGUCAGAGGUGAAAGCCCAGGGCUCAACCUUGGAAUUGCCUUUGAUACUGGCUGUCUUGAGUACGGAAGAGGUAUGUGGAACUCCGAGUGUAGAGGUGAAAUUCGUAGAUAUUCGGAAGAACACCAGUGGCGAAGGCGACAUACUGGUCCGUUACUGACACUGAGGCUCGAAAGCGUGGGGAGCAAACAGG